rnacentral:rRNA from 1 species
GGAGUUAGCCGGUGCUUCUUCUGUGAGUGAUGUCCUUCCUGCCGGCUAUUAACCCGCAGGCCUUCUUCCUCACUGAAAGUGCUUUACAACCCGAAGGCCUUCUUCACACACGCGGCAUGGCUGGAUCAGGGUUGCCCCCAUUGUCCAAUAUUCCCCACUGCUGCCUCCCGUAGGAGUCUGGGCCGUGUCUCAGUCCCAGUGUGGCUGAUCAUCCUCUCAGACCAGCUACGGAUCGUCGCCUUGGUGAGCCGUUACCUCACCAACCAGCUAAUCCGACAUAGGCUCAUCCGAUAGCGCGAGGCCCGAAGGUCCCCCGCUUUCCCCCGUAGGGCGUAUGCGGUAUUAGCCUGGGUUUCCCCAGGGUUAUCCCCCACUACCGGGCAGAUUCCUAUGCAUUACUCACCCGUCCGCCGCUCGCCACCAGGGAGCAAGCUCCCCGUGCUGCCGCUCGACUUGCAUGUGUUAGGCCUGCCGCCAGCGUUCAAUCUGAGCCAGGAUCAAACUCUGA